UACGAGAGGCCCAAACAUUAUUCGGAAUUACUGGGCUUAAAGAGUUCGUAGGCGGCAUGGUAAGUAGGGUGUGAAAUCCCUCGGCUCAACCGAGGAAUUGCGCUCUAAACUACCGUGAUAGAGGAAGCUAGAGGUGAGCGGAACUGAUGGUGGAGCGGUGAAAUGCGUUGAUAUCAUCAGGAACACCGGAGGCGAAGGCGGCUCACUGGGGCUUUUCUGACGCUGAGGAACGAAAGCCAGGGUAGCGAACGGG
rnacentral:rRNA from 1 species